ACAAAAGAAGUGAAUAUGCCCUGCCCCACCUUAACUGAUGACAUUCCACCACAAAAGAAGUGUAAAUGGCCAGUCCUUGCCUUAAGUGAUGACAUUACCUUGUGAAAGUCCUUUUCCUAGCUCAUCCUGGCUCAAAAAGCACCCCCACUGAGCACCUUGCGACCCCCACUCCUGCCCGCCAGAGAACAAACCCCCUUUGACUGUAAUUUUCCUUUACCUACCCAAAUCCUAUAAAACGGCCCCACCCUUAUCUCCCUUUGCUGACUCUCUUUUCGGACUCAGCCCGCCUGCACCCGGGUGAAGUAAACAGCCAUGUUGCUCACACAAAGCCUGUUUGGUGGUGUCUUCACACGGACGCGCAUGAAAGGUACUUGAACUAAAGAAGACCUAUGUGAACAUUUUAGUCAGAAUCUGGGCUUUCAGAUAAAUCAAAACCAGCGAUGAAGUCCCUCAUACACAGCAAUUCCGAUGCCAGGGACGGGGGCAGAGAAAUUCUAGCCAGAAAAGUGUGGGUCACUGACAAACCGCCACUCUCAAGCCAAAAAACCUGAAACCACAGGCCAAAGUGAGAGCUUAUAUACCUGUUUUCCCACUUGAAUGCUGCUUUUUCCUCAACCACCCCUGGCCCCGCCCUGCGCCAUCCUGUGCCUAUUAAAACCCCAGACUCAGCUAGUACAUGGGACUAUGGCUGGACGUGGGAGAAAAGCAGCUUGACUUCAGAAGGACAGCUUAACAGCGUAACUUCGGAGAAGAAUCUGGCUGGAGAUGACCUGACUUCAGGGGAAGGUAAUCUUCCUACCCCCUCCGAUUUACAGCUCCCCUUCCCACUGAGAGCCACUUUCAUUAGCAAUAAAAUCCCCCGCAUUUACCAUCCUUCAAUUUGUUCAUGUGACCUCCUUCUUCCUGGAUGCCAGACAAGAGCUCAGGAGCCAUGGGUGUGGAUAUAAAAGGCUAUCACAUUGGCUCUUUGCCCUCACUGACAGAGAGCAGCUGCUCACAUGAAAUGGCAAAAGGGUCACUGAGCUGUUAAGCUGUCCACGGUUGGCAGAGCUAAAAGAGCACUGUAACAUGCCCUCUGGGGCUUCAGGAGUUGCAAGCAUCCCCACCUGGAUGCUGCUGCAGGGCCUGCGUGGAGUUUGUUCCUGCCAGCACACAAAAGCAACCCGCUGGAUCCUGCACUCGCUUGCUCCUGUUUGUGCACUCAUUCACUCACACGCCUCCUCCCACAAGGGAUAGACAGGGGCGGGCUGAGUAAAUGAGGCAACGCUGUCACAAGUCCCAUGAAGUGGUCAAGAAAAUAUCCUGCUUCAUUAAUUCCAGACAAAAAUGGAGCUGUAUUAUGUGGGAAUCACAUUAUAUUUAUAGGUUAUUGAUAUUAUUGAUACAGCUUGGCUGUGUCCCCAACCAGAUCUCAUCUUGAAUUGUAGCUCCCAUAAUUCCCACAUGUUUUGGGAGGGACCAUCUAGGAGAUAAUUGAAUCAUGGUGGCAGUUUGCUCCAUACUGUUCUCCUGGUAGUGAAUAAGUCUCAUGAGAUCCGAUGGUUUUACAAGGAGUUUCUCCUUUAGUUUUGCUGUUAUUCUCUCUUCUCUGCUGCCGUGUAAGAUGUUACUUUGCUUCUUCUUUGCCUUCUGCCAUGAUUGUGAGGCCUCCCCAGUCAUGUGGAACUGUGAGUCCAUUAAACCCCUUUUCUUCAUAAAUUACCCAGUCUGAGGUAUCUCUUUAUCAGCAGCAUGAGAACAGACUAAUACAGUUCAUUGGUACCAGAGGAUUGGGGCACUGCUGUAAACAUACCUAAAUAUGUGGAAGCAACUUUGGAACUGGGUAACAGGAAGAGGUUGGAACAGUUUGGAGGGCUCAGAAGAAGACAGGAAAAUGUGGGAAGUUUGGAACUUCCUAGAGACUCGUUGAAUGGCUUUGACCAAAAUGCUGAUAGUGAUAUGGACAAUGAAACGCUGGCUGAGGUGGCCUCAGAUGGAGAUGAGGAAUUUGUUGGCAAAUGGAGUAACCAUGACACUUGCUGUGUUUUAACAAAGAGACUGGUGGCAUUUGGCACCUGCCCUAGACAUUUGUGAAACUUUGAACUUGAGGAAGAUGAUUUAGGGUAUCUGGCAGAAGAAACUGCUAAUCAGCAAAGCAUUCAAGAGGCGGUUUGGGUGCUGUUAAAAGCAUUCAGUUUUAACAGAGAAACAGAGCAUAAAAAUGCGGAAAAUUUGUAGCCUGACAGUGCGAUAGAAGAGAAAAACCCACUUUUGAAAUGGAAAUUGUCAUCUUACAUUUGGAGUAGUUAAAAGUGGCACUGCCAUUAUCUGAUACUUAAAAGAAGAAGAAACAAUUGUGGAAACUAUUAAAUGCUCUUAAUAAGAUCAAAAUUUGGGAAAGAAUAAAAAAGUAUCUAAAAGGAUACUCUACAAACUUGUUUUUGGAUAUUACAAAAUUAAAAGAACAAAUAUUUAAAGCAUCCCAGGCACACCUGACCUUAAUAACAGGAACUGGAGUGCUUAAAGGAGCUGCAGACAGAUUAGCAGCUAGUAAUCCAUUAAAAUGGAUAAAAACACUUGGAAGCUCUGUGAUUUCAAUGAUGAAUGUGCUUUUAAUCUCUGUUAUUUGUCUUUGUAUAGUUUGCAGAUGUGGAUCCUGACUCCUGCAAGAAGUAGCUCACCGUGACAAAACUACCUUUGCCUUUAUUGAUUUGCAAAUCAAAGAAGGGGGACAUGUUGGGAGCAGGCCCCCCGAAACUGGCCAUAAACAAAACCGCUGCAGCACUGUAACAUGUUCAUAAUGGCCCUAAUGCCCACGCUGGAAGGUUGUGGGUUUACUGGAAUGAGGGCAAGGAACACCUGGCCUGCCCAGGGAGGAAAACUGCUUAAAGGCAUUCUUAAGCCACAAACAAUAGUAUGAGCAAUCUGUGCCUUAAGGACAUGCUCCUGCUGCAGUUAACCAGUACAACCUAUUCCUUUAAUUCGGCCCAUCCCUUCAUUUCCCAUAAGGGAUAUUUUUAGUUAAUUUAAUAACUAUAGAAACAAUGCUAAUGACUAGUUUGCUGUUAACAAAUACGUGGGUAAGUCUCUGUUCAGGGCUCUCAGCUCUGAAGGCUGUUGAGACCCCUGAUUUCCCACUUCACACCUCUAUAUUUCUGUGCGUGUGUCUUUAAUUCCUCUAGCGCCGCUGGGUUAGGGUCUCCGCAACCGAGCUGGUCUCGGCAGUAUCUCAUAUAUCUAUCUACUUUAUUGUAUGCCUUGAGUACAUCACUACAACAUGGAUAUUGCCACAAAAAUAUCUUUGUCUGACUAUUUUCCCACUCGAGUGACAUAGCCAGGGGAAUAGCAACUGGUGUCUAAAGAAACCCCAAGAAAUUUUAUGCAUGAACCAGGAAGACAAGAGAGGGUCACUCUCCCUAAGAUACCCAUAGGAAAUCAGAUUAGGGGUUUAGGUACAUUAACACAAAAUUAAACCAAAGCAAAGGCUUCUUCAGUAAUCUAUCAUUUUUUCUUAAGUCUGUACUUGCCCAACUGUUUUAGUCCUAUCAUCCUAACCUUAAAGGUAGCUGAAAAGGGAAGAGAAAAAGCAGAUGAAAAUGGAAAAUGGACCUCCGCCAGGGAUUAUGCAAAGCUAUAUCUUGCCCUUUGAAGAACACAAGUAUUACCAUUCAGAAAACUUUCCUCUAUAAUUCAUGCAAUGUAGAAAAAAAUGCACAAAAUCUAAAACUCCACAUUUGAAUGCCAGUCUAAAUAAUUGACAUUACUCAAAAAAACUUGGUAUUCAAAUAUGAAGUUUUUUCCAUGUUAAUGUUACUUAAAAAGAACAAAAAGGAGAAGACUAGGAUUGAGGGGCUUGGGAGAGGAAUGGGAGGAGAAACAAGAGGACAAAGAAAAGGGAAAAUGGUAGGAGAAAUUUAUAGCUGAAAUGAGACAACUAUUAUUCUUCAUGUUUACUAAAUGAAAUUUCAUUUAUAUGUGUCAUUUAAAUGAAAAAUAAUACAACUCAUAUUAUGGGAACUUCAUUUCUCAUAAAUCAUAUAAAUAAUUAUAUAUGUGUUUUUGUGUAUAAUUAGUCCAUAUUCCACAGAAAUAAUUUGAAAAAAUGCCCUAAGGAAAUCACCUCUUAUUAUACCUCUGCUUAACAAAAAGAUUAAUAUGAAACUUUAGAUUUCUUUUCUAGUUUUUUCUAAGAUAAUUUAAUAUAAAACUUGUAUUUUAUAUAUUCACUAUAUACUAUGUUAUAUAUUUACUUACCUACUAUAUAUAGUUUGUAUCUUUUUCCAUUAUUAAAAAACAACUAAAUAUAUCAUUAAAAUUGACCAAAUAUCAUAAUGACUUCAUUAGAUUUUAUUAUUUUUCAGCUGGUUCUCUAAGGUAUUUUGGGGAGAUCAUGUUUUCUGCAUAUAAUGAUUAUUAAACAAAACUAUAAGAGGCCAUGAUUUUAGACUGAGCUCAAGCACUAGGCCCUAACAGACCAGACCAAACAAAAUGGAGUCAUUCCUGCUAAAUGCCAUAUAAGAAAUUGGAAACUCUAAGGAAGCAAAGAGAUCUCAAAACAAACCUAUUUUGUCUUCUGAAAACAGGAGAUCACAGAAUAAUAAGGAAGUCCUCUCUGCUUUAACCUUUAUAGAAAAGUGACCUGAAGAAACCAAUCAGUUAUUAUUAUUAUUAUUUUUUUUUACCGUUGUUCUCUUUGCUUGUUUUCACCUUACAAAACCCACUGUUUUGCUAUUUUCCAGUGGAAUUGAGAAGAAGUUAGUUCAUUUACAACGGUGAAAGAAUGACAUCAAUGCCUAAAGUUUUGAUCAACUUCUUAAUUUUGAGAGAUUAACCAAAAGGGAGGAAUUAUUAAAUUAAGUUUAGCCUAAAGCUGCUUCCUUAUAUAUUUUAAGUUCAGCCUAAAGGUUUCUCCAUACAUAGUGAACUGUAAUCUAACUGGAAAUGUGAAUGGACUCUUGUAACAAGUAGCCAAAUCUCCAACCAUGGGAAAGUCCCAGAGUCACUGUGAACCUGUUUUGCUUAGAAGGAGGAGGAUUGUCCUUUAGCAAAUCAUUCUUUCUUCAAUUAAAAACUUCGUUAAAUU
rnacentral:tRNA from 10 species